AUGAAAAUAGUGAAUGGGAGGGGAACAGCUAGAAACGGUUGCUAAUACCCUGUAGGUUGAGGAGCAAAAGGAGGAAUCUGCCCAAGGAUGGGCUUGUGUCUGAUUAGCUAGUUGGUGAGGCAAUAGCUUACCAAGAUGAUGAUCAGUAGCUGGUCCGCGAAGAUGAUCAGC
rfam:Gossypium raimondii Chr06_contig_496, whole genome shotgun sequence.